rnacentral:rRNA from 1 species
AUUGAACGCUGGCGGCAGGCCUAACACAUGCAAGUCGAGCGAGCGGCGGACGGGUGAGUAAUGUAUGGGGACUGCCCGAUAGAGGGGGAUAACUACUGGAAACGGUGGCUAAUACCGCAUAUUGUCGAAUAACCCAUAUGGGAUUAGCUAGUAGGUAAGGUAAUGGCUUACCUAGGCGACGAUCCCUAGCUGGUCUGAGAGGAUGAUCAGCCACACCGGGAUUGAGACACGGUCCAGAGUCCUACGGAGGCAGACGUGGGGAAUAUUGCACAAUGGGCGCAAGCCUGAUGCAGCCAUGCCGCGUGUAUGAAGAAGGCCCUAGGGUUGUAAAGUACUUUCAGUCGGGAGGCGUUACGGACUUAAGAAGCACCGGCGAACUCCGUGCCAGCAGCCGCGGUAAUAC